AAAACACAAAAAUGCCUUAAAGAAAAUUUUUCAUUGAUAAAGACAAUCUGCAGAAUGUUAUGUUGGAAAUAUUGGCCAAAGAAGAACUGACGAAUAAUUAAGAAUUUGGGAAGAAAAUUUAGGACAGUACAGCAUAGCAAAAGGAGAAAGGUUAUAAAUAUAUGGAAAAGGGGUAGUUUGCUAAUUGAAAAAAGAAAGGAAAAUUUUCUUUGAAAUUGUAUACUGUGCCACAAUAUAGAAACACAAUUCCACAUACCACAAAUAAAGAUGAAAAAGGGCAAUCAUAUGAUCAGAGUUUGAUUAAGCCUCCAAUGGGUAUGACCGCAUCUGUUCCAGAAACGCACUCAUCUUCAACAAAUGGAAUGGUUUUCCAUGCGGUUAAUCUUACUGGAACUUUCAUCCCAACUUUGAUGGAUUUAUCUUUUUCCAUGCAAAUAGCAGCAUAAUGAGAACCGACCAAUUCUAAUAGGGCAAACUGCCAACUGCUUGUGAGGCUCUUAGGAUCAUUUAAAGACUCUACCAUUAUCUCAGAUGCCUGAUUGCACAAUUAAGAAUGAAUUGUAAACAGUGGCUUAAGUGACAAGAUCCAUGGUUAAAAGUAUGAUCUAGAGCAGUAUAGUUUUUCCCCUCUUAACAUUGACAUCAGCUUGAGCAGUUAAGAUUCUGUUAUUCUUAAUUUUUAUUCAGAUCUACGCUCAAAUAACAUGCAUGGCAUACCUCGAAAAGUAAAUCCUCAGCAAGAACAAAGCUUCUCUUAUAGUCAGUCUUUACGUGAAUGGUAAAGGUCUUGAAAGGUGCAGCAGAGAAGCCUUUUCCCAAAGCUUUAACAUAUGCCUCCUACACAUGAUAUCCAUCAAAAGGGAAAAUUCAAAACAGGAACAGAAUUCAAAAAGAAAAAAAGGGUGCAUAAAAUUCUCUCAAGAGAAGAAAACAUCAAAUGCAACUUUCAAAUUCCAAUUCUAUAGAGCAUCAGGAAUGAGAUCUAAGAAAUGUUGCAGGGAAUUGUAACUAUUUAAGAAUGCAUUCCUGUAUUUUCCACAAAAUAAUGGCCCUUAAUAUUAGUGAAGUACAUAGAAUUUCGGCACCGUGCUCACCUUGAGAGUCCAUAAUUUUAUGAACUCCUGGUGCUGCACUUCAGAGUCCGAAAUACUGCUUAAAUAUUCUAUUUCAUGGAGAGAGAAGUAACGCCGUGCAAAAGCUAAGAUAUUGUUUUUUAUCUUCCUUUUUUUCUCUUCCACAUCGAUACCAAUUCGUGAAUUUGAAGUUACUCCACAAGCUAUCAUAGAAGAACUGUGUGAAAUGUUGAAAUGUAAAUGUGGUUGGCACCAGCCAUCUUCACUUUGCCACACCACCUAUGCUAUGAGAAAACGUCAAAGUUAUGCAAGAAAUAAAAACGAGAUUAAAAAAAUGUGAAUGGAGAGUAAGCAUAUCUAUCUAAUAAAAAACAGAAAGAAAGAACGGCAAACUAACCUCAGGCUUCCCAUGUAUGUUUUUCUUGAAUUUCAAAGAUCUUGGAUCAACAUGGCCAUUUAUCUGAUCUAGUAAUGAAAAAUAUUAUUCAAAAACCCCACAUAAUCUUCGUAUACACAAAUUCCUAAAACAUUACAAGUCAAUAGAUUAUCCUGAGGAUAAACAAUGUCUAAUUGAUAUUGAAAAUGGAUAGACUGAUUUUCAACAUAAAUAAAAGUGAAAAUGAAGUUUUGUAGGUUUGUAUCCAAAGCCAACUUCAGUAAAGAUAAUAUGAUUUGCAAAUGAUUCAUAUGCCAUAUUUAUAUUCGAUGUCACUACUCAUUGUAAAACAUAAAAUUUGAGUGCACUUUAUAUUAGCCUGCAAUGUCAUCAUAUGCAUUUAUUGAAAGUCCUAAAGAAUUCCAUUUAGCUUAUCUUUUGGUAAAUCUUGCAACUUUUAAGUAUAGUAUUGCUUUAAAGAAGCAUAAAGAUCAAAGGUAAUCAAAACUGCAUGAGCCAGAGUAGUGUAGGAAUGCAAUUGGGAUCAGCAACUGAAAGUGUAUACAUUUUUGAAGGAUAACUAAUGGUUAUUGACUAUGAUCAGCUGCAAAAUUAUACGCUUUCAGGUCUGCCUAACAGAUAGCGUAUGGACAAACACUUCACACUAUGAUCAGGUCAGUGACUUGUUGGUUAGCAGAUGAAGCAUCAAGCAGAAAAUGUGCACUUAUAACUAAAGACAUCUAAGUUGGUAUAUAACAGCAAGAUCAUUGAAUUGAUCAGCUCUUGACAUCUAUGCAACUUAAGAACAAAAGAUUAGCAAUACAGAAAAGAAAUAAGGAAAGAAAGGAUAAAUCAGACAAGUACAUCUGGCAAUGGUGGUGCGAACCAAGGCACGAGCUAGGAGUGCCCUUUUCUGAAGCUGGUGUCCAGGCAUGGAUAGAACAUUUUCUUUCUCAAUUGGAGAUAGAAGUCCCAUGUAUUGAUUUAAAAGCGAUACACUCUUGACUUGAUCCGGCAAAACAUACCAAAAAUGAGUUUCCAUUGGAGAAGGAAGCUGCACAGGAACCAGAGAGGAUGAAGCAGAACAGAAACUCCUUUGAAAGCAGCAGCGCAUUUUCAUAGGGGAAUAUGCUCUAAGCAGAGAUGGGAACAUGCAGUAACUUCACAGAACUGGCUAUGUACUACAUCAUUC
rnacentral:misc_RNA from 1 species